rnacentral:rRNA from 1 species
UGUGGAACGCGGUUCCAUGCAAGUCGACGGCAGCACGGACUUCGGUCUGGUGGCGAGUGGCGAACGGGUGAGUAAUGUAUCGGAACGUGCCCAGUAGCGGGGGAUAACUACGCGAAAGCGUAGCUAAUACCGCAUACGCCCUACGGGGGAAAGCAGGGGAUCGCAAGACCUUGCACUAUUGGAGCGGCCGAUAUCGGAUUAGCUAGUUGGUGGGGUAACGGCUCACCAAGGCGACGAUCCGUAGCUGGUUUGAGAGGACGACCAGCCACACUGGGACUGAGACACGGCCCAGACUCCUACGGGAGGCAGCAGUGGGGAAUUUUGGACAAUGGGGGAAACCCUGAUCCAGCCAUCCCGCGUGUGCGAUGAAGGCCUUCGGGUUGUAAAGCACUUUUGGCAGGAAAGAAACGUCGCGGGUUAAUACCUCGCGAAACUGACGGUACCUGCAGAAUAAGCACCGGCUAACUACGUGCCAGCAGCCGCGGUAAUACGUAGGGUGCAAGCGUUAAUCGGAAUUACUGGGCGUAAAGCGUGCGCAGGCGGUUCGGAA